rnacentral:rRNA from 1 species
UACGAAGGGGGCUAGCGUUGUUCGGACUCACGGGGCGUAAAGCGCACGUCGGCGGACUUGUUAGUCAGGGGUGAAAUCCCAGGGCUCAACCCUGGAACUACCUUUGAUGCUGCAAGUCUCGAGUCCGGAAGAGGUGAGUGGAACUCCUAGUGUAGAGGUGAAAUUCGUAGAUAUUAGGAAGAACACCAGUGGCGAAGGCGGCUCACUGGUCCGGAUCUGACGCUGAGGUGCGAAAGCGUGGGGAGCAAACAGG